GACGAACGCUGGCGGCGUGCUUAACACAUGCCAGUCGAACGGAAAGGCCCUGCUGUUGUGGUGUGCUCGAGUGGCGAACGGGUGAGUAACACGUGAGUAACCUGCCCGUGACUUUGGGAUAACUUCAGGAAACUGGGGCUAAUAACGGAUAGGAGCGCCUGCUGCAUGGUGGGGGUUGGAAAGUUUCGGCGGUUGGGGAUGGACUCGCGGCUUAGCAGCUUGUGGGUGGGGUAGUGGCUUACCAAGGCUUUGACGGGUAGCCGGCCUGAGAGGGUGACCGGCCACAUUGGGACUGAGAUACGGCCCAGACUCCUACGGGAGGCAGCAGUGGGGAAUAUUGCACAAUGGGCGGAAGCCUGAUGCAGCAACGCCGCGUGCGGGAUGACGGCCUUCGGGUUGUAAACCGCUUUCGCCUGUGACGAAGCGUGAGUGACGGUAAUGGGUAAAGAAGCACCGGCUAACUACGUG
rnacentral:rRNA from 1 species